AAUUCCUUAACUUAACAGGUAAAGUGUAUUCUUGAUAAGGAUAUUAUCAGUGUUCGAUCCACUGAGGAAUUA
rfam:Metarhizium majus ARSEF 297 Scaffold_95, whole genome shotgun sequence.